GACGAACGCUGGCGGCGUGCCUAAUACAUGCAAGCAGAACGCUGAAGAGAGGAGCUUGCUCUUCUUGGAUGAGUUGCGAACGGGUGAGUAACGCGUAGGUAACCUGCCUUGUAGCGGGGGAUAACUAUUGGAAACGAUAGCUAAUACCGCAUAACAAUGGAUGACUCAUGUCAUUUAUUUGAAAGGGGCAAAUGCUCCACUACAAGAUGGACCUGCGUUGUAUUAGCUAGUAGGUGAGGUAACGGCUCACCUAGGCAACGAUACAUAGCCGACCUGAGAGGGUGAUCGGCCACACUGGGACUGAGACACGGCCCAGACUCCUACGGGAGGCAGCAGUAGGGAAUCUUCGGCAAUGGGGGCAACCCUGACCGAGCAACGCCGCGUGAGUGAAGAAGGUUUUCGGAUCGUAAAGCUCUGUUGUAAGUCAAGAACGAGUGUGAGAGUGGAAAGUUCACACUG
rnacentral:rRNA from 1 species